GCCGGGCACAGUGGGCACGCCUGUAAUCCCAUUGGCUUGGGAGGCUGAGACCGGAGGACUGCGAGUUCAAAUCCAGCCUCAGCAAUUUAGCGAGACCCUGUCUCUA
rnacentral:sRNA from 1 species